rnacentral:rRNA from 1 species
UACGGAGGGUGCAAGCGUUAUCCGGAUUCACUGGGUUUAAAGGGUGCGUAGGCGGGUAAGUAAGUCCGUGGUGAAAUCUCUGAGCUUAACUCAGAAACUGCCGUGGAUACUAUUUGCCUUGAAUAUUGUGGAGGUGAGCGGAAUAUGUCAUGUAGCGGUGAAAUGCUUAGAUAUGACAUAGAACACCAAUUGCGAAGGCAGCUCACUACACAAUCAUUGACACUGAGGCACGAAAGCGUGGGGAUCAAACAGG